UCGCAUAAGGAGUUGAGGGCAAUAUUAACUACCAGAAAAUCUACCAGAAAUAGUAAACCAUCCGGCUACCUUUGGGAUACUCGUUUCAACAUACUACCAUUUGGGACACACUAAUUCUAAUCUUGGAUACUAUUUAGGAUGGAUAUUAGGUGAAUUGGGAUGCAGCACAUUCUGAAGACUCACUUGCACAUUUAUUUACAUAUUUCAUCACUAUAUAACGUUUCUUUCCUUUUAUAUGCAUAACGUAUUGAUUAAAAACAUUAAUGACUGAUACUCAGAAGUCAGAAGAUCUGCUCUCUGUGUGACUGCUUUACAUAAGCUCCUGGGUGUCCCAUCGUUCUGUACAGUUCAACAAUUAUAAAGCUGACUAUCUUAUAAUUGAAAAUGAAGGACAAAAAAAAAGAUAUAUACUGACUGUAACUCAUAAUGCCCGGCUUCUGAAGGACAAAAACUGCGUCAAGAACCUGUAAUCAUUUUUGAUAGUGACCUCAAAAAACCCAGUCAUUAAUGUCUCUAAAACAGUACAUUAUCACUACCGAGACAGCUAGAAAUGAUACCGUUCAAUGUAAAAUAAAUGUUAUUAAUAGUAACACAUAGAGUGAGCUUGGUUUUAAAUAGUCAAAAAGAGUCAAAAAAAGAGUGGUCUAUUUCAAAUAUGAUAGAAAUAUCCCAUAAUAAUUUCAAUACUCAUGCUAUGUCUUAAUCAGGUGUAGACAAUACUUAAGUACUUGUAGUUUGUUACUAUACUUAAAUAUUUAUUCUGUAAAACGUGUCAUUUGAGCUGUGUAUUGAAGCAGCUAUAAGUACCGCAUAUGUACUUUCACUAAGUUCUAGGAUUAGGAUUUACUCCUAUGCUUUGGAUCAUUGUCUUGCUUAUACACCGGACAUUCUCCUUUAGGAUUUUCUGGUACAGAGCAGAAUUAAUGUAAUUAAUCCACACCAUCACACUCCACCACCAUGCUUGACUGCGGGUAUGAUGUUCUUUUUGUGGAAUUCUGUGUUUGGUUUAUGCUAAAUUUAACAGGACCGCUGUCUUCCAAACAAUUCCACUUUCGACUCAUCAAUCGAAAGAACAUUUUCCCAAAAGGUUUGAGGAUCAUCACGGUUCUCACUGUGCUCUUGGAGGAAUUUUGGAAGGUCGGCCACUUCUGGGAAGGUUCACUACUGUGCCGAGUUUUUCCAUUUAGAGAUAAUGGCUCUCACUGUGGUUCUUUGGAGUCCCAGAGCUUUUGAAAUAGCUUUGUAACCCUUCACAGACUGAUGUCUUUCAAUAACCUUCUUCCACAUCAUUUCUGGAAAACAAUUUAGUAUGAGAUCUACACAAAAACGGAAGAAAUCAGGAUGGGGCAAAAACUUUUUCAGCACUAUAUAAGGACUGUAAGUGAACAUUAGUGUGUGUUGUAAUGGCGCUAACAUUCUGCAUCUCACAGCGCAGGUGGUUACGCUGCUCUGAUGCUUGUCUGUGAUUCAUAUGUUAAACACACCUUCAUGCAACACACACACACACACACACACACACAGUACAUGCGCCUCAAACACUCAAAUGAUCAGAGGGUUGUUUUUCAGAUGUUUUUAAAGCUUGUUGCUUUAAAAACAUCUGAUUAGCAUUUCUCCUCAGGCUAAUAACAAGUAUUUAUCUCACGUCCUUCAAGGAUGUCCUUGCGUCCUUUUAAAAUGUACAACAGUGUGUAGGUUGAUGAAGCGUCCUCCUUCACUUAAAACACUUCUGAGGCGAGUGUCUGAUAAGAGCUCCUCUUUAGUAUGUCAAUAGGCAAAAAAACAGAAGGGGCAUCAGUCGUGGCCCUGAGGCGAGACCAAGCGUAUUUUACUUUGUCUCUCUGAGUGGAAAUGUGGGGAAAAGAUGAAUAGAGGGGAAUGUGUGGAUGUGAAAGGCACACUUGAGUCUAAUUGAACGCAGGAUGCUUGAAGAGUAUGCUAAUAUCGGAGACAACGCUAAUCCUACAGUCUAUGCUAAUGCAUGAGCGUACGCUAAUACUGGAGUGUAUGCUAAUGCAGUUUAUUAAGCGAAAAAAGGUGGUGAAAAUAAGGCUAAUAAUCCGACAUUAGCAUGUCAGAUUAUCUCUGAAACGUUGUUUUGCAUCAAAUAUUGUGAAAUGAAUGAUUUGAGAUGCUUUCGAGUUAUUUAUAUUAUCGGUAAAAUCUCCGAUGUGUCUGUUUUUCAUUUCAGAGCUAAUCGAUAAACAUUUUUUGAGGGGAAAAGAGUCUUCAAGCAGUAGUAAAAAAAAAACAACAGAUGGACUUUAGAACACCAUUUCAGUCAGUAUGACGGAAACGUAACAGAAAUUUAAACACAAAUGAUAUACAAACAGUGUGAAGAAGACCCAUUUUUUCUGUACUGUACAGUAAGCAGUCUAGUAAAGCAAACUCUUAUUAGUGUAGCACAAACAUUGACACUUCAUACAUUUAGAUUUGAAGUUUAGCGUGUUUGUUAUGGAUGAGUGUACCAAUGUUUCUUGAAUAAAUCUACAUAAAUGGGUAAAAUGAGGAGAUGAAAAUGCUUGAUACACAGUUCUUCCUUUUCAGCAGGAACAGUCGAGGCAAGAUUUAGCAAACUGAUCUUUAAGGAUUUCGUUUGGAUCCUUUGGAUCCUGAAAUCCUUAAAAGGAUUUCCUCCAAACUCAGAGAGGAAAAGUAUUUAUUUCAGUAAAAAAAAUUUUACCAUAUAUGUAUACUAUUUUUGCUUCGUAAGGAAUAAAACACUUAGGGGUGCAAUUGAUAUGAAUUGGUCUGCUACAAUGGCUUAGGACUGCAAUUGCUAUGAUAGCUUUAAGACUGCAAUUGCGACAAACAGUUCUGUACUCAAGUCUCCAUCAGUGAACAGUGGAUAACUUCAAAAACAAAAUAAACUACAUGUUAAAACUAUAAUGAAUUUCCGGGUUAUACAAUUGCACUAUUUGACUAUAUAGUAGACAAGUAUAGAGGGGGAAUUAUUUAUAAUCACACUAUGCGGUGUCACCCAGAUGAGGAUGGGUUCCCUUUUGAGUCUGGUUCCUUCCUCAUACCAUCUCAGGGAAUGAUUCCUUCCUACCUCUGGCUUGUUCAUUAGGGAUAAAUUCAUAAAUUUGAAAUGUAUAUCCUGAAUUUAUAUAUUUUUCUAAAGCUGCUUUGUGACAAAUUCCAUUGUGAAAAGCGCAAUACAAAUAAAACAGAACUGGAAAUGAAUUCAACUUUUUGUCAAUUUAUAGUUACAUUUAAAAGUUGUGGAACGUCAGGGAAACAAGUUAUCGCUUACAUUAUAUCAGCUAUAAACAUUCCCUUACCAGUCUGACUAUUUUUUUCUAUCUUGAAGUUAAUAAGAUAAAAAGAAAAAUUUAGUUUGUCAUGUUACAGAGAAACUACACAGCAACAACUCCUCUCGUCACUGAAAACUUUGCUAAAUAUACACUACUACAUGCGCUUCUUUAAUCCGAUUGCAUUAAUAUAAACCUGUGAUUUGCCUUCUGUGAUUUGACUGGAAAAUUCUGGUAUCAACAGAAAUAAUGUAGGCAUAAUAGGAAUUUCUUACUGUUGAAUACUGGUUUGUUUUCUGCCUGAAAGGUCACAUGAUAUCCUGAGACACACAACCUCUCCUUUUACUUAUGUUGAGCUUGUGCAGGCAGUGAGAUAUUCAGUGUGAGUUCAUAUGUUAGAAAUAACCCCAUACAUAGCAGGCAUUACUUUUUGCACAAUUAUCUUCUAUGCAGAUUAAAAAUGUACAUGGAAUUUAAAUAAGUGUAUUAAAAAUCGAAGGCCACUAGAUGGCAGAAAAGAGGUUUGGAUAUUCAGCAACGAAAAUGUUUCUGAGGAGAAAUGUUUCUGUAUCUCUCUGGGAGAGAUAAUGGUUAACUGAAAUGGCCUGUGAUAUAAAUGUCGAGCUGUUUCUUCUGAUAUAUCGCUCUGUCACUCAGGACACAAAGAAAACCUAUUUGGAAAAAUGGACAGGAAGUGUUGAGGAGAGGCAGAGAGAAGAUCUGUCCAUUCUUCAUGCUGUGAUGACAUCUUAAUGGCAGAAGAACCAACAACUAGAAUUAUACAUCUCACACACACACACACACACACACACACACACACACACACACACACACACACACACACACACACACACACACGUCUGUCCUUUCCCACAGCUGCCAUUGAAUCCUUGCUCUGAAAGAGGAGCGUUCAUGAGUCUUGUGAGAAAAAAGUGCCUGUAGUUCCCUAUAAUCUAAAAAUACACUGUAUUCCCAAAUUCCCAAAUUCCCAAAUGUAGACCAAGUCUUGGGAAGCUGCUUGGUUUUGAACACUGGAGAAUUUGAAGGAUGACAGAUGUGUAAGCUUUUCCUGAAAAAGAGCAAACUAGUGCUAGAAUUCCCACUCAAAGAGCAGGGGCAGUUAUGCUCUCUUGGUCAGUAUGUCUUUGGCCACAUCAGGACUUAAUCUCAUUCAACCUUUUUAGACCAGGGGUUUCCAAUUCCACUGGAAAGAAAUAUCCGGUGAAAUAGUGUAUACUGGUGUAAUUUGGGUCUCCAAACAAUGCUUCACUUCGAACCCCAGGUCUUUAGAGCAUUACACCAUUCAGGAACAUGACUUUCCAUAUUUAGAGUGGUAAAAAUAUGUUUGGCUUGGGGCAGCAAAGUAAACCAUUCUGGGAAAAAUGUGUGAAAUGUGACAUUGAAAAGAAACAGGUGCCGGAGCAAGUCACUGAAAAGCUGGAAAGAAUCAGUUAGGGUUCCUCUCCAGUAGAAGUUAGCUUCUCAUCAAAAGAGGAACAGCUGAGAUAAGUUUUCCAAAGACUUUCCAACGGGUCAUCCUAGAUUUGAAAAUAAAGCCCCUUCUGAACAGUUUGAUUUUAAUAACUGACCUUUAAUAUCUAGAUAAAUCUACCACAAGUUUCACAAUUACCUCAUGUGGUUAGUGGUUAGUGGUUAGCAGGUUUGCUUCACACCUCCAGGCUUGGGAGUUUGAAUCCCACCGCCGCCCUGUGUGUGCAGAACUUGCAUAUUCUCCCCAUGCUUCAAGGGUUUCCUCUGGGUGUUUUGGGUUCCUCCCCCAGUCCAAAGACAUGCGUUGUAGGCUGAUUGGCAUUUCCAAAUUUUCCGUAGUGUGUGAAUGUGUGUGAUUGUGCCCUGCGAUGGGUUGACACCUAGUCCAGGGUGUCCCCCGCCUUGUGCCCCAAGUUCCCUGGGAUAAGCUCUAGGCUUCCCCACAACGCUGCAUAGGAUAAGCAGUACAGAAAAUGAAUGGAUGGAACACUAUGGUAAAUGGCGCACUUAUAUAGCGCUUUACAAUGUGUCUCAUUCACCCAUUCAUACACCAGUGGUAGCAGAGCUUCCACGCAAGGCACUAGCUCGCCAUCAGGAGCAACUUGCGUUUCAGUGUCUUGCCCAAGGACACUUCGGCAUGUGGAGGCACUUGAGCCAGGAAUCGAACUGUCAACCGUACGAUUAGUGGACAACCCGCUGUACCACCUGAGCCACAGCCGCCCCACUAGCAAAUUGCUUGUAGUGGAAGCCUGAAGCCUAUCCCAGGGAACUUGGGGCACAAGGUGGGGGACACCCUGGACAAAGUCCCAACCCAUUGCACACUAUGGGCAAUUCAGUGAUGCCAAUCAGCCUACACUGCAUGUCUUUGUACUGGGGGAGGAUGUACCCGGAGUACCCGGAGGAAACCCCCGAAGCACGGGCAGAACAUGCGGACUUCAUGCACACAGGAUGGAGGCAGGAUUUGAACCCUCAACUCUGGAGAUGCGAGAUGGGUGUGUCCCCCAUAAAAAAUGGGGAGAAGUAAGAGGAUAAUGCUAAUCACAGACUUCCUGGAGUGCACUCCUUGGAUGAUUAGGACUGGAAGACACAGGAAGCUCGAAUGUAAACCGUCUUUCGUAGGCAGUUCCUGAGAUGUUCAGAUACAUUGUUUUGUGUGUGUGUGUGUGUGUGUGUGUGUGUGUGUGUGUGUGUGUGUGUGUGAGUGUGUGCGUGUGUGACACAAAGGGAAGAGAUAAACAUUAAUCCUGAACACUUUAUAUGACAUUACUCUUAACUCUCCUGUUCCCUACACGCAUCAUACUAUCUCAUUAGAUUUACAGUAACAGGGCUUUACCUUUUUCAAGAAUACACAACAAAGUUCAAAUAUACACCUUAAACCAAAUGUCCUCACUCAUCUAGGACAUUGCUGCGCGACAUUCUAUAAUUAUUCAAGCAAGCUAUGAGGAUUAUGUAGCUAACAAGUAAUGGAGGUCUGUCGCAUGCUCACCCAAAAUAUUUCCGACUAUAUCUGGUUCUUCAGUGAAAACUUCAGCGAAUGUGGUUUAGCACAGGGGUUCUCACAUUUAAAAAAAAAAAAAAAUUUUUGUGUCCAGGGACCCUUUUAACUGUAAGUAUGGAUUUAUUUCAUGAACAUUAUCAAAAAUGUUCAAAUAAUAUAGAGUGACA
ensembl:lncRNA